CUUUGGUUAGUUCAGUUGGUAGAGCGCUCCACUGGAAAAGGAGAGGCCCCGGGUUUGAUACCCGGAGCAGACG
rnacentral:tRNA from 1 species